AUUGGCUGAAAUCCACUGUGAUUUGAGUGACGAGCAGGGAAGUUAUCAGACGAUGAGCAAAUGUCCUUUGUUCCACGAUAGCGCCAUCGACAACAGUCCGUUCGAUAAACAUCCCUGAACGAAAAAGCAAUCGGCCAUCGUUUGGUUGGCUCCGACGUUCAUGCGGAUGUUGAUCUGAGACGGAAUUCUAGCUCUGUGUGAUUCACCCAGCUCGCCGUUGUAUAGUCCGUUCAUGUAAACCGUGUCGGUGUAAACACCGGUAGCCAAAUGACCGUUACCAAUACUAGGCAUUUCAAGCUCGUCGAUUGGUAAGCUACAUCAUACAAUCAAUAAGGUAGUUAGUGAAAAAAAAAACAAUUAAACUACGGAGAAUUAAGAAAAAAAAUGAUUGCAACACUUGUGUGAUUGUGAUGCAUUUUCAUGUGACGGCUAUUAGAUGUUCUAUUUAUUAAGAAAGAAGGAACAAUCUCUAUCUAUACGAACGGCAUCCUUAUCGAUUGCCGUGAGGCGUCACGUACCCCACGACCGAUGGGUGAACGAAACUAUAAGAUGGUCAUUAAGGAAUGUCAGGAUAGUUUAAGACACAAUAUGUUGUUUUACACGAAGAUUGGUCAAAGCUCUUCGUUUGCUAGAGGAACAAAGAUUCUAUUUCGUUUCCUUAAGGGAAACGUGAUUUUGUGAAAUGGUUUUUCAUCCUGAUCAAUUGAUCUGGUAAUCAAUUGUGAUCAAGAAGAAGAACUUUCACGCACAGUGCUUGGAAAAAAGAAUUUUCAAUUACGAAAUUGGUUUCAGCAACAUUCCUUAGACCAGCUAAUCGAACGGUUUGAAAAGAAAUUCAAUUUGCAAUUAGCUAUAUUGGCUAUAAAUAUUUUUGUCAUGCUGAAAUUAUGUUUUGGAUCCAAGUUCUUAUAGCAGUGACAUAAGUAGGGUUUAUUAUCUCUUUUGCUACACUUUCUUAACGUUUGUUUUGUUUGAUCCUCGUCUUAGAAAGCUUAUUUCACGAAUCGAUUGGUGUCUAAGGUUUUCUACAUUUACAUUUUACAACAAAGUGCUAUAACUUUUUAUUCUCUCAGUUACACAGUAUUCUGUACGUUAAUUACCGCUUUGUUCUAGCGUAGACCAUUAACUUAGAUUAGAAUUACCUGUUACUCUCAAAGAUGCGUGAGUCCAGGCUCAAAUCGACCGCUCUGGAUUCGGUGGCCAUCGAUUGGUUCCCCGACACGAUGGCCACAAAUAGAAGAAGACCGAUGGGGAGAAACAUGAUGCUUCUCUACCAAAGAUUGUACUAAUACUUGAAGGAAACCACAAUUUCCAACGGAGGUAGUCUGCCGACUGAUUCGUACUCAAACUUCGUUUCGAGAUUAAACAAAUCAGACUAAUGGGACGGCCCUUGUCAACUCAAAGUUGACUAGCGAUAGCAUUGGAUCGACAGGACAAGAACCUUUUAGACGCCUUCUUUUUUUUUUCUCCCUCUUUAAUCAAAGCCCUGCCGCUCAGGUCGCCGUUUUGUACACAACUAGAGGGAGCAUCUGCGUCCACAUCCAAGAUAUACUUGUCCCUUUGUUAGCGUUCAACCGAUAGCGUACGUUGGACAUCUCGAACUUGUUUAUUUGUUCGUGCUCCACCCUUUCCUAACACUACCAUUCACCCGUUGUCUCUUUGCAUUGCUUUCGGAUGGCACAGCGAAAUAUCUACUUAAAGACAUCAACAAUUCAUAAAAGGUUUGUUGCGAUUGCGAUGAUGUUCAAUGUUACAGUUACGUGCCAAUUUAUAAGCCCCGUAUGACCGUUAAGGAACAACGUAGCCGGCUAUAUUUUUCACGAACAAGGCUCAAGAGCCAGUUACAACACGUGCGAUAUGCGUACGUAUGCAACGCGUUUUCAAUCAGUCAGCUUGUUGGUUCUAUUUUAUACGUCAAGAAACCAGCGGCAGGGAAAUGAAAGAUUUCUUGUAGAGAAGCUAUAGAGCUAUAGGCUAUUUAUUACGAUUCACGAUAUUAAGGCUUCGGUUGAUUCAUUGGAAAGAUUUCCAAUGGCUUCGCUAACGAUAUAUUUUUAUAAGAGGAAAUUAUUCAGCAGCGCAUGCGCAAUCCAACGUGAAUAUGAAGUUCGUUUAAUUCUAAAAAACUUCUUGAAGACGUGUAUAAACCAUGCCAGUUUUUUAAAACUUUAAGUUCUCUGCCAAGAAGCUGCUAAGGGCUGGUCCUGUGACUAGCUGUUCCACACCGGGUUUAAGCGCUUCCUGGAAAGCGUAGAUUAGUGAAUCCUUGACCAAGUUAGAGAUCAGAGACAGCCGUUGUGAAAUGACAUCACUGCCACCGCCCGGGAUUCCUCCAAUGGUAAUCUUAACAGUCCUAUCCGACGUUAAAGUAGUUUAAAAAUUUUAAAAAGGUUACUCAAAACUGAAUUCGGUUGUGUUUGUAAUACCCGAUUUCGUUUAGAAGAAGUUCUUGCAGAGUUACUUCAAAAGUUUCAGUGUCGACAGCGACGUUGAUCAUCAGAUCGACAUGCCUGACAAUCAUUUCAAUUUGAAGGUUUGUGUUGAAAAUGCUGAAGCCCCAUUUGAUGUCGACGCCCAGUUCAAUGUCAUUACCUCCGACAAAGACCACUGCGUUCGCUCGAUUUUGCAGCGCCUGCAAUUCAAAUGUGCAUGGACCCGUACGAUGGAUCGUUGAGAAUCCACCGAGCCGAGCGUUGCUGACAGCAACUUGACCAUUCGCCGUGGCACCGAACAACUAUAAGAAACAUAGUCAACAUUUUUGCACUAAAUCGCCUUAUAACAAGAUUACUAAACUGUGAUGCUAAACGCAGCCGAGUCGGAAGGUAAACGAAUAGGGUCCCAUCCGCCCUCGGUGGCGUUUACCCGGAUGUUUGAAAACAACUUAUCCACUACACCGCUAAUAUCUCUAAUUACGCGAGGUUCCGGUUUUGGGAUAUCUCUGCAAUGUAAAGAUAACUUGUAAAUGUAACUUGAUAUUGGUUGAAUAUUGAACGAGAAACCUACUGCUCGAUGGGAAAAACUGCCCCAAGAAUAAGCGAAUGGGCAACGCUAUUGGCAAACAAGUAUUGAUUAAUGUCACUUUUAAUGGAUUCACAGAGAACUCUGUUAAUGAGCUUCUCAUGUUGAUAGAAUAAAUCAACCAGAACGACCCCAAGGAUUUCAUUCAUUGUGGCCUCAUCCGAUUGCUCGCCGAUGUUAUCCAACUGGCUCUAAGUGACAUUUUCAAAAUAUGGGCUAAUGUUGAAAAUCACACGUUUUUAUCUAAAUUAAAUGAUCAUGUGUACCGUUAAUUCACCAAAACGAGUGUCAAACGUAAUUUCUUGGACCGAAAUCCCGUUUCUGGCAUUUCCUUCGAUUUGAAUGUGCCCAGUUAAGCGAACAUCUUUGACAUUUAUGCUAUUUAAAAAAUAAUUCUAGCAAAUUUUUCAAAAGAUUGUUCAUAUUUAUAUGCUAACUUACUUGAAAUUUCCGGAUCCUUGAAGAGGAAAAAAAUUUAUUAAAACCCCAUCGAUGGUGUAGUGACCGGUAGAAACUAACUUUGCAAGACUCAAAUCGAAUUCGAUUUUCGACUUGGCAGCGUCAACAAACCAACGGUUUACGAUAAAUUCCGAUAAUCCAUUGAUAACCACCGUGUCUACUGACCCUUGAAUCCUACAAAAAUCAACCCAAAAACAAAAGUUGGCAAUAUUAAAAAUAAAUUAUUUCUUCUCAUUA